rnacentral:rRNA from 1 species
UACGAAGGGGGCUAGCGUUGCUCGGAAUCACUGGGCGUAAAGGGUGCGUAGGCGGGUCUUUAAGUCAGGGGUGAAAUCCUGGAGCUCAACUCCAGAACUGCCUUUGAUACUGAAGAUCUUGAGUUCGGGAGAGGUGAGUGGAACUGCGAGUGUAGAGGUGAAAUUCGUAGAUAUUCGCAAGAACACCAGUGGCGAAGGCGGCCA